CUAUGCGCCUUGCCAGCCCGCUCAGGUGUGCCAGCAGCCGCGGUAAUACAGAGGUCUCAAGCGUUGUUCGGAAUCACUGGGCGUAAAGCGUGCGUAGGCGGUUUCGUAAGUCGCGUGUGAAAGGCGGGGGCUCAACCCCCGGACUGCACAUGAUACUGCGAGACUAGAGUAAUGGAGGGGGAACCGGAAUUCUCGGUGUAGCAGUGAAAUGCGUAGAUAUCGAGAGGAACACUCGUGGCGAAGGCGGGUUCCUGGACAUUAACUGACGCUGAGGCACGAAGGCCAGGGGAGCGAAAGGG
rnacentral:rRNA from 1 species